GAUGAACGCUGGCGGCGUGCCUAAUACAUGCAAGUCGAACGAGUGGCGAACGGGUGAGUAACACGUGGGAAACCUACCCUUCAGCGGGGGAUAACCAUCGGAAACGAUGACUAAUCCCCCAUACUGAAGGAUUUUCCCGCGGUGCAUUCGCUAGACGGUGGGGUAACGGCCGACCGUGGCUUUGAUGCAUAGCCGACCUGAGAGGGUGAUCGGCCACAUUGGGACUGAGACACGGCCCAAACUCAUACGGGAGGCAGCAGUAGGGAAUCGUCCGCAAUGGACGCAAGUCUGACGGAGCAACGCCGCGUGUGUGAAGAAGGUCUUCGGAUCGUAAAGCACUGUUAGCAGAGAAGCGGGAAAUGAUCAGAAAGCCACGGCUAACUACGUGCCAGCAGCCGCGGUAAGUC
rnacentral:rRNA from 1 species